rnacentral:rRNA from 2 species
UUCCGGUUGAUCCUGCCGGACCUGACUGCUAUCGGAUUGAUACUAAGCCAUGCGAGUCAUUGUAGCAAUACAAGGCAGACGGCUCAGUAACGCGUAGUCAACCUACCCUAUGGACGGGAAUAACCUCGGGAAACUGAGAAUAAUGCCCGAUAGAACAUUAUGCCUGGAAUGGUUUAUGUUCCAAAUGAUUUAUCGCCGUAGGAUGGGACUGCGGCCUAUCAGUUUGUUGGUGAGGUAAUGGCCCACCAAGACUAUUACAGGUACGGGCUCUGAGAGGAGUGGCCCGGAGAUGGGUACUGAGACACGGACCCAGGCCCUAUGGGGCGCAGCAGGCGAGAAAACUUUGCAAUGUGCGAAAGCACGACAAGGUUAAUCCGAGUGGUUUCUGCUAAAGGAACCUUUUGACAGUCCUAGAAACACUGUUGAAUAAGGGGUGGGCAAGUUCUGGUGUCAGCCGCCGCGGUAAAACCAGCACCUCAAGUGGUCAGGAUGAUUAUUGGGCCUAAAGCAUCCGUAGCCGGCUCUGUAAGUUUUCGGUUAAAUCUAUACGCUCAACGUAUAGGCUGCCGGGAAUACUGCAGAGCUAGGGAGUGGGAGAGGUAGACGGUACUCGGUAGGAAGGGGUAAAAUCCUUUGAUCUAUUGAUGACCACCUGUGGCGAAGGCGGUCUACCAGAACACGUCCGACGGUGAGGGAUGAAAGCUGGGGGAGCAAACCGGAUUAGAUACCCGGGUAGUCCCAGCUGUAAACUAUGCAAACUCAGUGAUGCAUUGGCUUGUGGCCAAUGCAGUGCUGCAGGGAAGCCGUUAAGUUUGCCGCCUGGGAGGUACGUACGCAAGUAUGAAACUUAAAGGAAUUGGCGGGGGAGCACCACAAGGGGUGAAGCCUGCGGUUCAAUUGGAUUCAACGCCGGG